rnacentral:rRNA from 1 species
UACGUAGGGUGCGAGCGUUGUCCGGAUUUAUUGGGCGUAAAGGGCUCGUAGGCGGCGUGUCGCGUCGGGAGUGAAAGCCCGUUGCUUAACGACGGGUUGGCUUUCGGUACGGUCAUGCUGGAGUGCGGCAGGGGAGACUGGAAUUCCUGGUGUAGCGGUGAAAUGCGCAGAUAUCAGGAGGAACACCGGUGGCGAAGGCGGGUCUCUGGGCCGAUACUGACGCUGAGGAGCGAAAGCGUGGGGAGCGAACAGG